rnacentral:rRNA from 1 species
GAGUUUGAUCAUGGCUCAGAACGAACGCUGGCGGCAUGCCUAACACAUGCAAGUCGAACGAGACCUUCGGGUCUAGUGGCGCACGGGUGCGUAACGCGUGGGAAUCUGCCCCUUGGUUCGGAAUAACAGUGGGAAACUACUGCUAAUACCGGAUGACGACGUAAGUCCAAAGAUUUAUCGCCGAGGGAUGAGCCCGCGUAGGAUUAGCUUGUUGGUGAGGUAAAAGCUCACCAAGGCGACGAUCCUUAGCUGGUCUGAGAGGAUGAUCAGCCACACUGGGACUGAGACACGGCCCAGACUCCUACGGGAGGCAGCAGUGGGGAAUAUUGGACAAUGGGCGAAAGCCUGAUCCAGCAAUGCCGCGUGAGUGAUGAAGGCCUUAGGGUUGUAAAGCUCUUUUACCCGGGAUGAUAAUGACAGUACCGGGAGAAUAAGCUCCGGCUAACUCCGUGCCAGCAGCCGCGGUAAUACG